AGAGUUUGAUCCUGGCUCAGGAUGAACGCUGGCGGCGUGCCUAAUACAUGCAAGUCGAACGAGAAACUUCUGGUACUUGUAUCGGUUGUUUUCUAGUGGCGAACGGGUGAGUAACGCGUUGGUGACCUACCCCAAAGUGGGGGAUAACAGAUCGAAAGAUCUGCUAAUACCCCAUGUUGUCAUCGUUUUUAGAAAUCGAUGAUUAAAGGAGCAAUUCGCUUUGGGAGGGGCCUGCGUCCCAUCAGCUAGUUGGUAAGGUAAUGGCUUACCAAGGCUAUGACGGGUAAGGGACCUGAGAGGGUGGCCCCUCACAAUGGAACUGAAACACGGUCCAUACACCUACGGGUGGCAGCAGUAGGGAAUAUAGCACAAUGGACGAAAGUCUGAUGCAGCAACGCCGCGUGUACGAUGAAGGUCUUCGGAUUGUAAAGUACUUUUCAGGGAGAUGAGAAAGGACAGUACCCCUGGAAUAAGUCUCGGCUAACUACGUGCCAGCAGCCGCGGUAACACGUAGGAGGCGAGCGUUAUCCGGAUUUACUGGGUGUAAAGCGCGUGCAGGCGGUUUGAUAAGUUGGAUGUGAAAGCUCCUGGCUUAACUGGGAGAGGUCGUUCAAAACUAUCAGACUAGAGAAUGGUAGAGGAAGAUGGAAUUCCCGGUGUAGUGGUGAAAUGCGUAGAUAUCGGGAGGAACACCAGUGGCGAAGGCGGUCUUCUGGCCCAUUUCUGACGCUAAGACGCGAAGGCUAGGGUAGCAAACGGGAUUAGAGACCCCGGUAGUCCUAGCAGUAAACGAUGUGAACUUGGCGUUGGUGGUGUAAAAACCAUCAGUGCCGUAGCUAACGCGAUAAGUUCACCACCUGGGAACUACGGCCGCAAGGUUAAAACUCAAAGGAAUUGACGGGUCCCCGCACAAGCAGCGGAGCGUGUGGUUUAAUUCGAUAUUACACGAAGAACCUUACCCGGGUUUGACAUGCAAGUGUAGUGAAGCGAAAGCGGAACGACCCUUCGGGGAGCUUGCACAGGUGCUGCAUGGCUGUCGUCAGCUCGUGUCGUGAGACGUCCGGUUAAGUCCGGUAACGAGCGCAACCCUCGCUGUAUGUUAUAAGUGUCAUACGGGACCGCCGGUAUCAAGCCGGAGGAAGGUGGGGAUGACGUCAAGUCAGCAUGGCCUUUAUAUCCGGGGCUACACACACGCUACAAUGGCCGGUACAAUAGGUUGCGAAACCGCGAGGUGGAGCCAAUCCUUCAAAGCCGGUCUCAGUUCAGAUCGCAGGCUGCAACUCGCCUGCGUGAAGUC
rnacentral:rRNA from 1 species